UGUUUAAGGUAGCGCAUCUCUAAUGAUUUCCCGCGAUUUCUUCGAAGGUUGAAGAGCCUACUAUUAGGUGCCGUAGCCUAGUGGUUAAGGCGAUAGACUAGCAAUCUUUUGGGAUAUUCCCGCGCAGGUUCGAAUCCUGCCGACGACGUAUACUUUUUUGCGACGCGUUUUAUUUAUUUUCUAACGUAAUUUGAUUUAAUAUGGCAUAUAAGCUAUAUUUAUUGUUAAAUAUGUUGCAAUUUUUAUGCACAUUCUUCAAUUAUUAAAAUUAAAACAACGUUAUGGCGAAAUUGGGUGAUUUACUGUUGAAAAUACGAACCAUGCAUGUUGCAUUUUUAUUUUUAUUUCAAAAAGUAAACGGUAAAUCUGUCUAGUUCUUGGUAUUUUUGCUGUAUAUAGUGUUUCUAUAAAAACUAAGUUUAAAAUAUGACUUAAAUGAUACUAUUUUGAAUUUUAUGACACUUUGUUUUUAACCGACCCAAUUUUUACUUGGCUGAAAUCACUUACAUUUCAUGGCGCUCUUCCAUAGAUAAAAAUUUGUAAAAAAUAAAUGUCUGUAAAAGAAUACUUAUUUCAUCUUGUUUAAACUUUAAACACCUUUACAGCAUCUGUACACACCAACUGCAUGCCCAUAUUUGGAAAUUUGAAUGAAUUAUGGAACUUUUAUAUACCCCAGGGGUGAAAAUAAACUGGACAAAAGCCGAGCGUGGGG